GGACAAGGCUGACUGCACUAGAGAGAUGUAUAGCUAUUGCUAGUUGUUUCUACUCUAAAAAAUGGAACAAUAUCGAUCCGCUCGAAUAAAAUUCUGGGUAAAUUUAUGAUAAUGACAUUGUUUACCCAUAAGUCUUGACCAAGUUACGUGCCAGCAGUCGCGGUAAGACGUAGAAGACAAGUGUUAUUCAUAUUUAAUGGGUUUAAAGGGUACCUAGACUGCAAGUUAAGCCUAAAAAGGGAACUGAUUUGCUAGAGUUACUAAUGAAGAAGUUUUAAAGUACUAGAGGAGUAGAGAUAAAAUCCGAUGAUACCUUUUUUUUGCGAAAACUUCGGCACAGGUAUAGGUGAAAACAUCUUCUUAUAGGAUAACUGACGUUGAGGGACGAAGGCUUUUUACAGCGAACAGGAUUAGAGACCCUGGUAGUAAAAGCAGAAAAUGAUGAGUGUCAUAGAUUAGAUAAAAAUUUAUUCUAUAAAUGAAAGUGUAAGCACUCCACCUCAAGAGUAUUUUGGCAACAUUGGAACUGAAAUCAUUAGACCGUAUUUGAAACCAGUAGUGAAGUAUGUUGUUUAAUUUGAUAACCCGCAAAAAACCUUACCACAACUUGAAUGUUUAUUCACUUUAUCUGUGUGAUAAAGUAAAUAGAUACAAGUGUUGCACGGCUGUCUACAGUUAAUGUCGUCAGACUAUGGUUAGUUCCGUUAAAUUAACGCAAUCCCUUGCUCUAUUUUUGAAUAGAGUCGCUCUCCGAUAUAUUGGAUAUGAUAACAGGGAACAAGACAAGUCAUCAUGGCCUUAAUGUUGUGGGCUAUAACGUUGCCACAUAAAAAAAAAAAGGUUGGUGAAGAACCGG
rnacentral:rRNA from 1 species